AAUGGUAAAAAAAUUUCAUAAAACCAAAGAAAGAUCACAAUAAUGUUACAUAAUCCGAUUGAAAACCCAUGUAAAGUAAGGAAUUAAUGUGUUACAUAUUAUUAUGAAUCAUAAUUUAAUACAGAACAACAAUAUUGCAAUUUCAUUGUUCAUAAAUUAAAAAAACAAAUACAAAAACAAGAGCAACAAAGGAAGCAAUUAUUGUUGGCACAAAA
rnacentral:lncRNA from 1 species